CUCCACCUCUCCUAGAUCCCAUGUAAGGGCUGGCCACCACCAAAGUAGCAUCUAUUUCUGCAGUUCGCUCCUUUGUGUUGGUUUUUGUGAUGAGCCUCAACAUUGGUCAAGCACUUCAGUACUGGAAAGGAAACAACCCAAUGCUCCAAACUGAGUAUGUAUGUAUAAUCCUAAGGCACUUUAUCAUCUAGCAGAUAUUGCAGUUUGGGUGAGAGAUGUUUCUGGCAGAAGUAUCCAUACUAUUUCCUGGUGUUGAGUGUCUAUAGUUAUGAGUACUGUAUGCAAGAAUAAUUUAAAA